UGGAGCUGAAAUCAGUCGAAGAUACCAGCUGGCUGCAACUGUUUAUUAAAAACACAGCACUGUGCAAACACGAAAGUGGACGUAUACGGUGUGACGCCUGCCCGGUGCCGGAAGGUUAAUUGAUGGGGUUAUCCUCGCGGAGAAGCUCUUGAUCGAAGCCCCGGUAAACGGCGGCCGUAACUAUAACGGUCCUAAGGUAGCGAAAUUCCUUGUCGGGUAAGUUCCGACCUGCACGAAUGGCGUAAUGAUGGCCAGGCUGUCUCCACCCGAGACUCAGUGAAAUUGAACUCGCUGUGAAGAUGCAGUGUACCCGCGGCAAGACGGAAAGACCCCGUGAACCUUUACUAUAGCUUGACACUGAACACUGGUCCUUGAUGUGUAGGAUAGGUGGGAGGCUUUGAAGUGUGGACGCCAGUCUGCAUGGAGCCAUCCUUGAAAUACCACCCUUUAAUGGCUGGUGUUCUAACGUGGGCCCGUAAUCCGGGUUGCGGACAGUGUCUGGUGGGUAGUUUGACUGGGGCGGUCUCCUCCUAAAGAGUAACGGAGGAGCACGAAGGUCAGCUAAUCCUGGUCGGACAUCAGGAGGUUAGUGCAAUGGCAUAAGCUGGCUUGACUGCGAGCGUGACGGCGCGAGCAGGUGCGAAAGCAGGUCAUAGUGAUCCGGUGGUUCUGAAUGGAAGGGCCAUCGCUCAACGGAUAAAAGGUACUCCGGGGAUAACAGGCUGAUACCGCCCAAGAGUUCAUAUCGACGGCGGUGUUUGGCACCUCGAUGUCGGCUCAUCACAUCCUGGGGCUGAAGUAGGUCCCAAGGGUAUGGCUGUUCGCCAUUUAAAGUGGUACGCGAGCUGGGUUUAGAACGUCGUGAGACAGUUCGGUCCCUAUCUGCCGUGGGCGCUGGAGAAUUGAGGGGGGCUGCUCCUAGUACGAGAGGACCGGAGUGGACGCAUCACUGGUGUUCGGGUUGUCAUGCCAAUGGCAUUGCCCGGUAGCUAAAUGCGGAAGAGAUAAGUGCUGAAAGCAUCUAAGCACGAAACUUGCCCCGAGAUGAGUUCUCCCUGACCCUUUAAGGGUCCUGAAGGAACGUUGAAGACGACGACGUUGAUAGGCCGGGUGUGUAAGCGCAGCGAUGCGUUGAGCUAACCGGUACUAAUGAACCGUGAGGCUUAACCUUACAACGCCGAAG
rnacentral:rRNA from 2 species